rnacentral:rRNA from 1 species
GAUGAACGCUGGCGGCGUGCCUAAUACAUGCAAGUCGAGCGAACAGACGAGGAGCUUGCUCCUCUGACGUUAGCGGCGGACGGGUGAGUAACACGUGGAUAACCUACCUAUAAGACUGGGAUAACUUCGGGAAACCGUAGCUAAUACCGGAUAAUAUAUUGAACCGCAUGGUUCAAUAGUGAAAGACGGUUUUGCUGUCACUUAUAGAUGGAUCCGCGCCGCAUUAGCUAGUUGGUAAGGUAACGGCUUACCAAGGCAACGAUGCGUAGCCGACCUGAGAGGGUGAUCGGCCACACUGGAACUGAGACACGGUCCAGACUCCUACGGGAGGCAGCAGUAGGGAAUCUUCCGCAAUGGGCGAAAGCCUGACGGAGCAACGCCGCGUGAGUGAUGAAGGUCUUCGGAUCGUAAAGCUCUGUUAUUAGGAAAGAACAAAUGUGUAAGUACCUAUGCACGUCUUGACGGUACCUAAUCAAAAAGCCACGGCUAACUACGUG